GACGAACGCUGGCGGCAUGCCUAACACAUGCAAGUCGAACGAGACCUUCGGGUCUAGUGGCGCACGGGUGCGUAACGCGUGGGAACCUGCCCUUAGGUUCGGAAUAACUCCCCGAAAGGGGUGCUAAUACCGGAUAAUGUCUUCGGACCAAAGAUUUAUCGCCUUUGGAUGGGCCCGCGUUGGAUUAGCUAGUUGGUAGGGUAAAAGCCUACCAAGGCGACGAUCCAUAGCUGGUCUGAGAGGAUGAUCAGCCACACUGGGACUGAGACACGGCCCAGACUCCUACGGGAGGCAGCAGUGGGGAAUAUUGGACAAUGGGCGAAAGCCUGAUCCAGCAAUGCCGCGUGAGUGAUGAAGGCCUUAGGGUUGUAAAGCUCUUUUACCCGGGAUGAUAAUGACAGUACCGGGAGAAUAAGCACCGGCUAACUCCGUG
rnacentral:rRNA from 1 species